CAACCAUCAAGCCCCAGGCUUGUGUUGGGGACCUGCGGCUGCUGCAGGCCCUGAAAACUAGUGGCGGGCUCGCUGUCAUCCCGAGCGUAGUAGCAUCUCGCUCAGGGCGUGCUGCGGGUUCCGGCCGUUAAAGGAUGAUUAUACCAAA
rnacentral:misc_RNA from 1 species